rnacentral:rRNA from 1 species
GUGUCAGCAGCCGCGGUAAUACAGAGGUCUCAAGCGUUGUUCGGAAUCACUGGGCGUAAAGGGUGCGUAGGCCGCACGGUCAGUCAGAGGUGAAAUCCCGGAGCUCAACUCCGGAACUGCCUCCGAUACUGCCGUGCUCGAGGACUGGAGAGGUAUCCGGAAUUAAUGGUGGAGCAGUGAAAUGCGUAGAUAUCAUUAGGAACACUAGCGGCGAAGGCGGGAUACUGGACAGUUCCUGACGCUGAGGCACGAAGGCCAGGGGAGCAAACGGGAUUAGAAACCCGCGUAGUCC